AGAAUUUGAUCUUGGUUCAGAUUGAAUGCUGACGGCGUGGAUGAGGCAUGCAAGUCGAACGGAUAUAAGUAGCAAUACUUAUAUUAGUGGCGAAAGGGUUAGUAAUACAUGGGUAACCUGCCCUUAACCUGGGGAUAACGGCUGGAAACGGCCGCUAAUACCGAAUGAUGUAUAGAUGGUGAUUCCUUCUAUAUGAAAGUUGGGAAACUCGCGGUUAAGGAUGGGCUCAUGCGAUAUCAGCUAGUUGGUGAGGUAAUGGCUUACCAAGGCUAAGACGUCUAGGCGGGUUGAGAGACUGACCGCCAACACUGGGACUGAGACACUGCCCAGACUCCUACGGGAGGCUGCAGUCGAGGAUUAUUCGCAAUGGGGGAAACCCUGACGAUGCGACGCCGUGUGAACGAUGAAGGCCUUCGGGUCGUAAAGUUCUUUCGCUUGAGAACAAGGUUUCAUUGUAAAUAAUGAUGAAGUCUGAGGGUAUCAGGUAAAGAAGCACUGGCUAACUCCGUGCCAGCAGCUGCGGUAAUACGGAGGGUGCAAGCAUUAAUCGGAUUUACUGGGCGUAAAGGGCGCGUAGGCGGCUUUAUAAGUCUUGUGUGAAAUUCUAUAGCUCAACUAUAGAGCGGCACAGGAAACUAUAUGGCUAGAGGCUAAAUGGAGAAAAUGGAAUUCCACAAGUAGCGGUAAAAUGCGUAGAUAUGUGGAAGAACACCAGAGGCGAAAGCGUUUUUCUAAUUUAGAGCUGACGCUGAGGCGCGAAAGCAAGGGGAGCAAACAGGAUUAGAUACCCUGGUAGUCCUUGCUGUAAACGAUGCAUACUUGAUGUAGUUGGGCUCAACCCCGACUGUGUCGAAGCAAACGCGAUAAGUAUGCCGCCUGAGGAGUACGCUCGCAAGGGUGAAACUCAAAAGAAUUGACGGGGACCCGCACAAGCAGUGGAGCAUGUGGUUUAAUUCGAUGCAACGCGAAGAACCUUACCCAGGCUUGACAUGCAGAUGAAUAGUCUAGAGAUAGGCUAGUCCGAAAGGACGUCUGCACAGGUGCUGCAUGGCUGUCGUCAGCUCGUGCCGUGAGGUGUUGGGUUAAGUCCCGCAACGAGCGCAACCCUUAUCAUUAGUUGCCAACAAGUAAAGUUGGGUACUCUAAUGAGACUGCCUGGGUUAACCAGGAGGAAGGUGAGGAUGACGUCAAGUCCGCAUGGCCCUUAUGUCUGGGGCUACACACGUGCUACAAUGGUAGGUACAGACGGCUGUGAAGCUGAAAGGUGGAGCAAAUCUGAAAAAACCUAUCUCAGUUCAGAUUGUAGUCUGCAACUCGACUACAUGAAGAUGGAAUUGCUAGUAAUGGCGUGUCAGCAACAACGCCGUGAAUACGUUCCCGGGUCUUGUACACACCGCCCGUCACAUCAUGGGAGUUGGUUUUACCCGAAAUUGCUGACCCAACCGCAAGGGGGGAGGCGCCUAAGGUGAGGCCGAUGACUGGGAUGAAGUCGAAACAAGGUA
rnacentral:rRNA from 1 species